rnacentral:lncRNA from 1 species
UGUUUAUCAUUAAUUUAUCACUUGGUAUUGCAAAUAAAACUUUCAUGACCUCCUCAGCUGUAACAUCCUAAUCAUAUUGUCUCUAUCCAAGUCAGAACACCGGCCGGUAUUGUAAAAUUUCCUGCAACUCUGACACUUCAAUACAUGUGAAGUCUGCAGGUUUAUGCUGCAAAAACUCUCUGAAAUGUUUCUCAACUUCUUUUUUUUUCUGUAGGCGACGCCACGACCUCCACAUCAGCACAUUCUAUGUCUUUGAUGGAAUUGACAAUUUCUCUUGCUGUUGCACCUUAGUGAAAAGCUUUAUUAUUUUUAUCGCUCAUGUCUAGCCAAUGCAUCUUUGACUUUUUUUAGAAACUUCUCCUCAAGCCCUGGAACAAAGUCUCAUGUCUUAUACGCUUCACUUUUAGCUUCAAAAUUUUGCUCUGUUGGGUUUCUCAUCGUAGAAUCUUGUUUUAAUCAGAGCUCUUCAAGAGAAGCGUUUGAUUUUACUGAAAGAUUUACCCUCUUUUUCCUCCCGAAAUCCCGUAUGAUAGGUUUUAAACCCUUUAACUUCUUUGAGAAUCUGAAAAGCAAUGAUGUUGAUGAAAAGAUUGGCUCAGUAGUAUCCCAAUAUUUCCUCACACUCGGCAGAAAUUCUUCCAGAUCUGUUAUAGCAUUUACAAACUUGAAAGGCCGUUUUGGAUAAGAGAGUUCUGAAUGAUGAUUAAUGUGGCACCGGAGAUGAGCUGAACAACCUCCACUUUCAAAAACUUCAUACGAUUGCGGAUAGGCAGCUAACCAAUGAUCAUUAAACUGAACACGAUCAAUCUUCUUAGAGAUAAGAACUUCUGAUCGCUUGUUACACUAAGUAAAGUGAGGUCCAUGUGAGCCUAGGUCCAUUAAGAAACAAUACUUCACAACCUCCCCAAAAUGUCGCAUUCCUGGAGUUACCAUAGGUGAGACUUCAUGAGAUGAGUGGUCCUCCAUAUCUAGAGUCUCGUUAAAAUCGCCAGCAAUUAAUCAGAGUUUAUUGCGAACAAUAGGUGAAUCUUGGUGAAGUUUCAAAUCCUUCCAUAACUCCUUUUUCCAUGUAUUUAGAGCAUAGAUAAUGGAGUAAAAAAACUCAUGAAUCUCUUCCGUACAUAUAGAAACAGUGAGUAAUUGUCCACUUUAAAAAAUGGUGUUACUUAAUAUCCGGUCUCCACGCCAACCAGAUUCUCCCCAGUGUGUUGUACUCAUAGUUUGAGAUCAUACUCCAUC